UAAUUGAAGAGUUUGAUCAUGGCUCAGAUUGAACGCUGGCGGCAGGCCUAACACAUGCAAGUCGAGCGGUAACAGGAGAAAGCUUGCUUUCUUGCUGACGAGCGGCGGACGGGUGAGUAAUGUAUGGGGAUCUGCCCGAUAGAGGGGGAUAACUACUGGAAACGGUGGCUAAUACCGCAUAAUGUCUACGGACCAAAGCAGGGGCUCUUCGGACCUUGCACUAUCGGAUGAACCCAUAUGGGAUUAGCUAGUAGGUGGGGUAAAGGCUCACCUAGGCGACGAUCUCUAGCUGGUCUGAGAGGAUGAUCAGCCACACUGGGACUGAGACACGGCCCAGACUCCUACGGGAGGCAGCAGUGGGGAAUAUUGCACAAUGGGCGCAAGCCUGAUGCAGCCAUGCCGCGUGUAUGAAGAAGGCCUUAGGGUUGUAAAGUA
rnacentral:rRNA from 1 species